AUGGAGAACAAAGACAGUAGGAUGACAACUGAAUGGAACUCAACAAUGGAAAACAGAACGCAAUCAGAUAGCAAACAAACAAGAACUGACAUGAAAACCCAAAAAGAAACUAUAAAAAGACAAAGGCAACUGAUAUGUCAAGUAAUGGAGGAGAUCGAACAACUCUGGAGACAGACAGAAAGAAAAAGAAAUGAAAUUGACUUCUUAAAGACAAAGACAGAGGGGCAACAGGAAAACACUGAGAGACUGACAUCUGAAAAAAACAAACAGCACCUACUAUUAAAGCAAUUUAACUUCCAAAUAAAAAAUAUAACUGAGAAACUCAAAGAAAGCAAAAAUUCAGUUGCUAACGAAAAAACAAACCUUCUGAAAAUGUGGACUAAAAUAUACCAAGAGAAGGAUACUCUGGACAGAAGACGUCAUUACUUCAUCAAUGAGCGACACAGGCUAGACAGUAUAAAAGCUAGUAAGACAGAAUCACCAAUAAGGGAGGAACCCAAAGAGCUCCUUAAGCAGGUAAAGCAGGAACUGGAUAUACUGGAGAAUGCAACUGAGAAAAACAGGGAAAUAAUGGUUGAAGUAAAGAAAGUUAAAGAAAAAAUGGAGAAAACUAAAGCAAACAUACAGCAAGCAUUAAAAAGAAAUAAAGAGGACAUUUCAAAAAACAGUGAACAAAUUAACCACAUUAAACAUAUUAUGUAUGUAAAGAUCAACAUGGUCAAGCACAGAUGGGCAAGCAUUAUAAAACAGGCUGAAAUGAAGAAAAUUCACAUGUAUAAAGAAGGACAGAGAGAAAGAAAAGAUGGAAAAGCCACAUUUGACACAGUGAAGAGAAAAAUGUGUAGAAUCCAGGAAGAGAUGGAGAAACUUUGGGAUGUGCUGGAAGACAGUGAACAACAACUGGAAGUGACUCAAAGUGCAAAGCAGCAGCUAAUGGCAGAGAACAAUCCCGUGAACAUCAAGAUGAAUAUUAAUUAUCCAAAGCAACAAGCUUCAGAUCUAAGCUUGAAAGUGACACACAUCCAGUCUGAAAGAGAUGACUUAAAGAGAGUUAAAAUGAAACUAAAGACAGGAAGGGAAAAUGUAGAAAAAGACAAGCCAAAUACUUACAUGCAGAAUUUGAUCUCUGAGGAAGAAGAAAACAAUGAGGUGCUUUGUAUCAAGAGUGAAGAAACAAAGCAGAGCACGAGGGACUUUACAGAAGUAAAGGCUCAAACCAAAUGGACAAAUUUUCGAGAAAAGCAAAAAAGAAGGGAGCUUGAGCAUCUGCUCGAGAAGAUAAUGAAAGAGAGGGAUGAGUUAGAAAUCAUGAAGAGAAAAAUACAGCGACAAAAGGAAGGGGUUGAACAAAAACUGGAAAAUACUGUCACUGAGAUGAAAGGUAAAAUAGAAAAAACUGGUGCAGAAAUUAACAACACUUGGGAGAAAAUGCGGAGAACCCAAAGGGAGAUGAGUAAGAACGAGGAAGAAGCCAAGAACUAUAUGGAAAACCUAACAACCAUGAAAGCUUGGGUCAACAAAUGGAUAUCGACACAAUCUACAAUCAAAUAUACUUUUUCGGUGAAUGCAUCCAAACUUCAAGAAUCACAGAAAGAAAUAGACACAGACUCCCUCGAGGAUCAAACAUCAGCAAUUCCAAAGGACAAAAGGGGGACAGAAAAUAUAACAGAUACAACAUCAUUACAAAAUUCUGUAACAUUAGAUGAUCAGCAUCAAAAUAAAAAAAUUAAAGAACAACAGAAGGAGCAUUUUGAAUCCAAACAUUGUUUUGCAGAAGGCAAAAAUGGGGAGCAGGACUUUUGCUUACAGAUGCGAACUGAAAUUCAUGAAGAAGCAGUGCAUGAUAAAACUGAAUUACUGAUAAUUGUAAGAGAAAGGGAAGAAGUGGAAAAACUGAUAUGUAACCUAAAGCAGCAAGAGGGGGAAAUAAAGGAGCAAAUAAAGUACACUGUUGAUAACAUGAAAGAAAAAACUCAAGACAUCAAAAGGCUCAUUUUGGAAAUGAAUGACCUGCAGAGGGCAGACACUGUAAUUACAGUCGGCGAAACUGAAAAUGCCCAGGAAGUAUUAACUAAGCUGUUGGAAGAAACUGAACAGAGAAAGAUUUUGAUGGUGAACACCAAAGUUUUCAAAAAUGAAAUAAUGAAAUAUGAAGUACAAGAGGAGGACGAUGCCAAAAAAAUAAAACAAGAGUCUAGCUUGAUAAGACUUGAUAUUAACAAGCAAAAACAAAUUCAGAAAUCAGGAGAAGAGAUGAAAAAAUAUGUUGAACACACAGAUGAAAAUAAAAAGGACAGAGGAGCCGAUGUACAAAGACUCAGGGCAGAGAUUUACAAAACACAAGAGAUUAUAAGAACGCUAAGAGGAGGACUUGAGAACCUAGCGGAAAAAAGUAACAUGGACAAAGAUCAAAAGAAUGAAGGCAGUGAAAUUGAAGGAUUGCUAAAAGACAUCAAACAGUUUCAAGAGUUUUUGGAAAUUGUAAAAGCCACAAUAAAGCAAAGUGAAGUAUAUAUGACAGAAGAAAUGAGCAAUAUGAAAUCAAUUAAAACUGCAGUGAAAAAGAAGAGAAGAGAAUUAGAUCAAAGGUUAGAAAAUACUUCAAAAGAGAGAGACAGAUUAGACAUCUUUAAAAUAAAAAUGCAGAGGCAAACUGAACUGAUUCGGCAGAAUUUAGAAAAAAUGGCAAAAGUUAAGAGCACAAUCGAGAAAAUAGCCACUCAGACCAGAAGGAAAAUUGAAGAGAUAGAAAUUAGUAUGAAGGAGACUGAAAUAAAACUAAGACAGUUUAAAGACCUUGACUACAUUAACCUUAACUUAACAAAAGGCGCAAAACCAGACAUGGAACAUGGUACUACACCUAAGCAAAGAACUGCUCUUGAAAUUUUCAAGACUGAAAUUAGAAAGACAAUGGACAAUAAAAGAGAUAAACUGACAAAAACCAAAAUGGACAAAGAAACUGAGGGAACAGAAAUCCUCAAACAAGUUAAAGAGAAACUGGAUGAUGUAAGACUUUCAUUAGACAGUCUGGGUCAUAAAAAAAAAAAAUCAGUUAGUGAGACUGUGAAACAAAUAAUUAAGAGAGAAGAGACUGAGGUGACAGAACAGAUCCAAACAGCGAUAAAGAAUGAGAAAAUAGUUAAACAACUAACUGAAACAGAAAUACAGGAUGAACAGAUGAACCAUUUGAGGGAGAAAACUGAAAGACACAAACAGGAGCUUGAUGACAGAGUACACAUGACAAAAAGGCAAAUAAGAGAAAUGGAGCUGCUACAAUCAGAAUUGAAAAUAAAGACAAAAGAACUGGAGCGUUUAUUUAGAAAAACCAUGAGAAAAAAGGAGGAAAUUGAAAUAAUGUGGAAUGAAAUACAACGAGAAAAGGAAGCAUUGAGGACCGAGAUCAAAAAGAAAAGAAGAGAAUUAGACCAAAGACUGGAGAUAACUCUGAGAAAAAGGGAUGAACUAGAAAUGUUAAGGGUAAAAUUGAAACGACAGAUGGAAGAGCUGGCUGAGGAGAAGCAGAGAGACCAUAAUCUGUUCAUCCAUCUACCCAAUGAACAUGAAAAACAUUGGGAAAGCAAAGAUGUGAAAAUGUUCAUGGAGAAACUUAAAAACCACAGCUCAAAAGUUUCUCAUUAUAUUAUUUACAUCCAAAACAUAAGAGACAGGGUUAAUUUACACAUGGGAACAAUUAGGACAGAGAUGAAAAUUCUAGAAAAUGUGAAUGCUCAUUUAGAAAAGGACAGGAAGGGAUUCAGAGAAGUUGAGGCUGAAAAUAAGAAUAUAACAAACAAAAUGAGGAGAUUAAAAUAUCAGCUUAAUUUAAUCUUUGGAAGAGUUACCAUACAAGACACUGCAGAGAUGGAUGAAACAAUCAACAUGUGGGAAAAAAUCCAAAGACAAAAACAGAGGCUUGAUAUGAGACUAGAAAGUAUUAAAAGGGAAAGACAAGAGAUCGAAGCUCUGGUGGUUGAGCUGGAGAUGAAGAAAAGAGAAAACCAACGUGUAAUCAAAAGAAGCAUUCAAAAAGAACAGAAGAUAAAAAGAAUAUGGGUUACUUUCAAAGAAGAAAGAACUGCCCUCGUGAGAGAAACAAAGCAGAAAAAGGAGCUUGAACAACGACGAGCGGAGAUCAUCAAACAUCAAGGUAAACAAGAAAAAAAGCAGAAGUUGCAAAAAGGAAAGAAAGGGAUGAAAAGUGAAAUUGAAGACAUGAGGAUGACAGAAAAAAGGAAGCAAAUUAAAAAGCAUUGGGAACUAAUCAACAAAUACUUAGGGGAAUAUAACAAGGUAAUUAAAAACACUCAAAUCAUCAUUGGAAUAAUUCAGAAUGAAAAUAAGCACAUGCAAGACCAAAAGAAUUUCUACAUGACCAGAAGAAAAGAAGUACUGAAUAUGAAAAGCGAGUUAGAUAGGCAAAAGGAAAUUAUACGGUGCGCAUUAAAAAACAUAAAACAAGAGCGAAAACAUGGGGAACAAGUGGAGACAAAAAUCAAGACAGAGCAAGAAAAAAAUGAAAACGGAUGGAAAAAACAAUUUCAGAUAGAAAAAGAUGCCAUUGAUGACUUGAGUGCAGACAAGAGUCAAGACAAAGAAGAUGUUAAAAGAAUGACUGAGAUGUUGAAGAAGAACCAGAAACUUGAAAUGAGAGGCUGUAAAGUCAAAAAAGAAAUUGACAUAUUAAAACAAAAAAAGGAAGACAUAAAAGAGGAAAAGAAAACCAGUGAAAUAAAAGAAACGGGAAAAAAAAUAACGCUUAAGGAUGGUAUGAAAAGGGUUGUAUUACAAGACACAAAACAAGACUUCAUAAAAAAAGAGAUCAAAAAACGAAACCAGGGAAAACAAAAAGUCAACCAGAUGAGAACUAGACGUGACAAUAGAAAAGAACUGUUGUUGAAGGAAAGGAGAAAUAUCAUAGAUGAGCAGAAAGAGAUGGAAAUGAGAGGACACCAAGUCAUGACAGAAAUGAAAUCAAUAGAGAUUCUGAAAGUGAAACUUCAACAACUGAAAGAGGAUAUAAAAGCUAAAACGGACAGAUUACUACAAAAUGUUGACAACAGGUCCAUGCUGCAAACAGUGUUGGAAGAAAAACUUACAACUCAAGACAAACAGAAAGAAAACAUUUGCUAUUUCACUGAAAUGUUAGAGAGGGAAAGGGAAGGUGUGAGAACUAUCCUUUCAGAAAUGAUCACCAAGAGAGAAUGCACAGAAAAAGAAUGGAAGCAGCAGUUUGAACUGGACAAACGAGAUCUUGAUAAACUGAAAGAAGAUCUGAGACAAGACAGAGAAGAUCUGGAGAGAGAAAGUGAGGUGCUGAAUAAAGAGAAAAUGGAUUUGAAGCUGUUGAUGUCUGACAUGAAGAAACAAUUUGAAAUAUUGGAAGAAAAGAGACAAAAUGUAAAAGAAGAGAGAGACUCAAUGGAAAUCAUGAAGCUUGAACUGCUCAAUAAGAUGGAACAUGUAAAAAGGCUGUUAAAUGAGGCAAAUAAAGAAAAAGCCAAUAUUAAAGUUUGUAUCCUUCAGGUUCAAACGGAAAAAGAAAGACUUGAAGACAUUUUAAGCAAGAUUUUCUUAACACAUAGUGAACAAAAAGUCAAGGAAGAUGACCUCAGAAGACAAACAAAAGAACUGGAAAUGAAGAAGAAGCAAUUACAGAGUGAAAGAGAAAAAGUGGAGAGUCUGAUGAGGAAUCUCAACAAGAAGCAAGAAGAGCUUGAACGUGCAAAGGAAAUCAUGAGUGAAGAAAAAGAAGAGGUGAAACAGAUGAAGACUGACAUUGCCAAAGAACGAGAACUGUUGUUGAAGGAAAGGAGAAAUAUGGAAGAAGAGCGGUCUGAGAUGGAAAUGAGAGGAGACCAAGUCAUGGAUGAAAUGAAAUCAAUAGAGAUUCUGAAAGUGAAACUUCAACAACUGAAAGAGGAUAUAAAAGCUAAAACGGACAGAUUACUACAAAAUGUUGACAACAGGUCCAUGCUGCAAACAGUGUUGGAAGAAAAACUUACAACUCAAGACAAACAGAAAGAAAACAUUUGCUAUUUCACUGAAAUGUUAGAGACGGAAAGGGAAGGUGUGAGAACUAUCCUUUCAGACAUGAUCACCAAGAGAGAAUGCACAGAAAAAGAAUGGAAGCAGCAGUUUGAACUGGACAAACGAGAUCUUGAUAAACUGAAAGAAGAUCUGAGACAAGACAGAGAAGAUCUGGAGAGAGAAAGUGAGGUGCUGAAUAAAGAGAAAAUGGAUUUGGAGCUGUUGAUGUCUGACAUGAAGAAACAAUUUGAAAUAUUGGAAGAAAAGAGACAAAAUGUAAAAGAAGAGAGAGACUCAAUGGAAAUCAUGAAGCUUGAACUGCUCAAUAAGAUGGAACAUGUAAAAAGGCUGUUAAAUGAGGCAAAUAAAGAAAAAGCCAAUAUUAAAGUUUGUAUCCUUCAGGUUCAAACGGAAAAAGAAAGACUUGAAGACAUUUUAAGCAAGAUUUUCUUAACACAUAGUGAACAAAAAGUCAAGGAAGAUGACCUCAGAAGACAAACAAAAGAACUGGAAAUGAAGAAGAAGCAAUUACAGAGUGAAAGAGAAAAAGUGGAGAGUCUGAUGAGGAAUCUCAACAAGAAGCAAGAAGAGCUUGAACGUGCAAAGGAAAUCAUGAGUGAAGAAAAAGAAGAGAUGACCUCAGAAGACAAACAAAAGAACUGGAAAUGA
ensembl:lncRNA